AUGCAUGGGCGGCGCCAAGGCUGCGGUGAGGGGUGCGGCGACCGGCGUCCUUUCGUCCGGCACAUGUGGCCGGCAACUCGCGUAGAGGCAGCUCCACCACCGGCAAAGGGACCAGCCUCCCCUCCUCCUCCUCCCCGCUCGUCUCUUCCACCGCUCCGGACGACCUCUUAUCCACCCGCACCGACGACUCCCCCGGCGGCACCCCACAAGCAGGAGGCCGCCGAUUCACCCCGUCCGCCCUCAGCAGACUCCUUCCUAAAGGACGGGCGUGAAUUUCGUGUUGGAGAUUGUGCACUUUUUCAGGCUGUUGAUGUUCCUCCUUUCAUUGGGUUAAUACGCUGGAUUGAGAAAAAAGAAGAAGGCUUUCCUAAGUUACGUGUAAGUUGGCUCUAUAGAUCUGCUGACGUCAAACUUAACAAGGCAAUACCGCUCAACGCUGCACCAAACGAGAUCUUCUAUUCAUUCCACCAGGACGAGACAUCUGCUGUCUCUCUACUACAUCCUUGCAAAGUUGCCUUUUUACGCAAAGGCGUCGAGCUGCCAGCCGGAAUUUCUUCAUUUGUGUGUCGGCGUGUAUAUGAUAUUGACAACAAGUGUUUAUGGUGGCUUACCGACAAAGACUAUAUUAAUGAACGGCAGGAAGAAGUAAAUCGACUUCUGCAUAGAACAAGGUUAGAAAUGCAUGCUGCAGUACAGUCAGGUGGACGCUCACCGAAGCGGCUAAAUAGUCCGUCAUCUGCCCAGCAGAAGGCCGGUUUGGAUGAUGGACAAAAUUGUAUUUUAUCUAAAGGAAAGAAGAGGGACAGAGUUGAGCAAGGAAUUGAUCCAGCUACGCGAGACCGUGAUCGUCCCCUUAAGGUCGAAGAAGGUGAACUGGGGAACUUAAAGGCAGAAAAUAUGAAGCAUGCAUUUACAAAGUUUAUUGCGAAGUUCACAGACAAAGGCGGGCUUCCUCAUGCUGAAGCAGUCGAGAAGCUAGUCCAGUUCAUGCAAGUUGAUCGAACUGAACGGAAGAUAGACCUUGGUGGUCGAGUAGCACUUGCACAUAUUAUUUCAGCUACAGAAAGUCCUGUUUGCCUCGGGAGAUUUGUGCAGCUAAGGGGCCUUCCUAUUUUGAAUGAGUGGCUUCAGGAAACUCACAAGGGGAAGUCUGGUGAAGGGGGUAGUCCUAAAGAAACUGAUAAGCGUGUUGAAGAAUUUCUCAUGGCCCUGCUCCGUGCUCUCUCAAGAUUGCCUAUCAAUUUGAAUGCCUUGCAGAGUUGCAGUAUUGGGAAAUCUGUCAAUCAUCUGCGUAGCCAUAAAAGUGCUGAGAUACAGAAGAGGGCGAAGUGUCUUGUUGAAAACUGGAAAAAGCGUGUUGAUGCUGAAAUGAAGUCAAAUGAAGCCAAACCUUUAGUAUCUGGUCAAGCUGUUUCCUGGUCAGGGAAAGGGGGCGCUGCAGAAGUUUCUAAUGGUGGAAACAGACGAAGCGCCUCAAGUGAGGCCAGUCCGAAAAACCCAGUAUCUCGGACAGCUAAACCUGGUGCAUCCGAUGCUGUUACGAAGUCGAAUCCGCUCACUUCCUGCUCUUCAAAGUUGCAACACAUGCAGCCUGCAAAUUUUGCAACCAACUCGAAGGAUCCACCCUGCAAAUCGGCUGGUGGUUCUGAGUUGCCAACAGUGAAAGAGGAGAAAAGCAGCAGUUCAAGCCAAUCACUGAACAACAGUCACUCAUGCUCCAGUGAUCAUGCAAGAACAUUUGGUUCUCCUUGGAAGGAGGAUGCGAGAAGUUCUACUGCUGCUUCUGGCAAUGCUAGUAAAACUUCCGGGAGCUCUUCACGCGUCCAUCGAAGGGCAAACAGUGUCCGUCUUGGUUCUGGGAUACAAAAAGAAGCUACUGCGGGAAGAUCUGCCUCACUCGAUCGUUCGUCGUUCCAGGAAAAAUCAUCACAAUCUGGAAUGGCGUCUGAAAAAGGAGGCGACACACCUUCUGAUAAUAACAGUAAUGGCCAUAGGUUGAUUGUCCGCUUUCCAAAUCCUAGCCGUAGUCCUGCUAGAAGUGUGAGCGGAGGCUCAUUUGAGGACCCGUCUGUCACCGGGAGUAGAUCUUCAUCUCCUGUAGAUAAGCAUGAACAGAAUGGUCGGCGGGUGAAAAUGAAGAUCGAAAAUUCUCGACCCGAGUUAGCUUCUGAUGCUAAUGCUGAGUCUUGGCAUAGCAAUGAGAUAAAAGGGGUUGCAGGGUCUGAUGAAGGUGAUAAAUCAGCAUUCCCUACAUUGGAGAGCAACAGGAAUACUGAAGAAGCUGUUAAGGAGGCAUGUGCAUCACGGCCUGCAAGUUCGUCGCAAGUGAAUGAGAAAGGAAUCUGUUCAAGUGAAACCAAGGGGAACUCAUUCAACCCUAUGAAUGCUUUAAUUGAAAUAAAAUACUCUGAAGCUGGUCCUCCUCUGCAAGCUGGAGAUGAUACCGCAAUGAACCUUCUUGCCAGUGUGGCUGGAGAAAUAUCUAAAUCCGACUUAAUUUCUCCGUCAGCUUCACCGAGAAAUUCAUCUGCAAAUGAAGUGGGCUGUGAAGGCGACAGCAUUGAGAAGUUGAAAGUAGAACGUGACAUUGCCCCUUCUCAGCUUCAAGGUUCCUCAGAUGUUCAGAAGGUCAUUUUGGUGAAGCAAGAGAAAGCUGAUCCUUGUUUGAUUGCCAAGGAGGAACGUAAUCAGAGGGCUCACUUAUCAUUGCACGACAACAAAAUCACAACAUCUACUGGGCUGUCACCUCAAAAUGGUACAGACUGUAAUGCCGUCGAAUCUUCAGCGAAGACUGAAAACCAAGCGGAGGGUUGCGCAGACAAGUGUCUUCCUGUACCUGGGGCUGAUUCACAAGGUCAAGAUCGUAAUGCAUGUUCCAGCCGUGGGCCAGUUGAAGAUGGUCGCAUAAGCAGCCCUGAUGUCGUUGGCACUGCUUUAGGUGGUCAAUGCAAUUCAGCUGUUUCUAAUCGCACGUCAGAAUUGCUCCCUCCUGAGGAGUUGCAAUUGUCUGCCCCUGAUAAACAGCCCCAUGCCUUGUUAAAGCAAACUGAUAAAAAACCGCUUGGGGUUGUACUAGAUCAGUUGGAAGCCAUGGAUACACGUGAUGGCAGUACUGGUAGUAAAUUGGAUUUGAAGUCUUCAGUGUGUCCACUGGUUGUUGGUCCCACAAAGGCUGAAGUCUUGGGUGUUAACACAGUGCUGAAAGAGGACGAAAAGGAGCAGCCUUCUUCCACUUCAGCUGAUGUUAACAAGCUAUUUGCAUUCCCAGUUGAUGUGCCGAACGGGAUUAAAGAAUCAAAGGAUAGUUCCAGUGAAUCGAGUAGUCAAGUAAAACCUCGAGCUAUCAUAUCUCAGGAUUUUGAGCAUGAUGCAAGUCAGAGUCCAAAGAAACUGAGCGAUGAUGUCGGUGCAAAAGAGGAUCUUGUCUCAUCAGGUGAGGGUUCUUCUAUGGCGGCCCAGGCCAAACCAAAUGUUACUGCUAAGCUUGAUUUUGAUUUGAAUGAACUUGGGGAUGAAGGGAAUCACUCUGAGCCAGUUACCUCUCCUGUUAUAUGUACUUCUGGGAUCCAUGUACCUGGCCUUUCUCCAUUCGUAUCACCUGUUCUAAGUGGUUUGCCUGCCCCAAUAACAGUAGCAGCUCCAGCUAAAGGACCUUUUGUUCCUCCUGAGAAUCUACUACGAGUGAAGCCUGAGGCUGGGUGGAAAGGCUCAGCAGCUACAAGUGCAUUUCGUCCUGCAGAACCACGGAAGGUUGUGGGGACAUCUCUGACUGCACCUGAUAUUGUAGGAUCUGAUGCUGCUGGGAAGCGGUCUCGCCCUGCGUUUGACAUUGAUCUAAAUGUAGCAGAUGACCAGAUUCUCGAGGAAGAUAUCUCUCAGAGUUCUGCUCAGACAGUUGGAUCUGAAUCUGGCAACAGUAGAAGUCGCGAUGGUCCUGUGCGAAGCGCUGGCAUUGAACUUGACUUGAAUAGGGCUGAUGAAGUUGCUGAGAAUAACCAGUUUAUCUCAAACUCUUCCAACAGAGUUGAAGUCACAUUGUUGCCAGCAAGAUCUUUGCCAGGAGGUUUACCGAGUACUAGUAUGAAUGGCUCAAAGAACUUCUUUGAUCUCAAUAAUGGACCAAGCCUUGAUGAAGCUAGCACAGAGCCUGCACAAAGGAGUCUAUCAUCUAAAGGUGCUAGCAGCAUACCAUUCCUUCCUCAAGUUGCUGGUCUUAGAAUGAACGGCACAGAAAUCAAUAACAUGUCACCAUGGUUUGCUUCUGCCAACCCAUAUGCUCCUGUAGCUAUGCAAUCGUUUUUGCCUGCUAGAGGAGAACAGCCUUAUCCAAUUGAAACAGCAUCUGGAACCCAGAGGAUGAUUGUGUCUGCUGCAGACAGCUGCCAAUUCGGAAGUGAUUCAGGCAGGGCUCCAGUUGUUUCCACACCACCAACAAUGGUGUUUCACCCUCCUCCUGCAUAUCAAUAUGCAGGAUUUCCUUUCACCCCCAGUGUUCACCUUCAGACAGCAGGUUUUCCAAUUGGAUCGACGUCAUAUGCCAAUUCUGCACCUGCAGGAGUUUCAUACUUUCCAACCAUUGCGCCGUCACUUGUUGGGUCAACGGGUGCAUUACCUCCCCAACAUGUGAGGCAAUAUGCAAUAAACCGUCCUGAAGGUAGCAGUAGUGAUGGUCUCGACAGUAAUUGGAAAUGGAAAAGACCAGGAGGGUUUGAUCUUAAUUCUGGUCCCGGGAGUAUAGAUUUAGAAGGGAAGGAUGAACGGAUACUUUCAUCGGUUAGACAAAAUUUGAUGACGCCGCAGCAGGCCUUUGCAGAGGAGCAAACGAGAAUGUACCAAUUGCCUGGUGUAGGAAUAAAGAGGAAGGAACCUGAGGGCAGUUGGGAUCCCGAUAGAUCAUCAUACAAGCAAUUGUCAUGGCAGUAA
rnacentral:rRNA from 1 species